AAGCCGUAACAACGUUUCCAGGAUCAUUAACACGUAUCCACGUAAACCCCUGUGAACAUGUACGUGUCUGGUUUGUUGAGUGGCAACGACGGUUUAUGUGAGGAUUGAGCCUGCGUGGCUCUCCAACCGCGUUGCCUGGCUCUACGAGAGUAAAACUUAACAAAUUCGGGCAUUUUUAACCAUACCUCGUUACCCCAAUUGACUAACAUAGAAAUAAGAGCGUGUUCUCACGAUCUUUAUUUCGACACGCAAAACGCAGCAACGGAUAUCUUGGUUCAC
rnacentral:misc_RNA from 1 species